GAGACCCGUACCCACAGUUGCCAGCGGGUCCUCCGGCAGGAUGGGUACUCUGUGGGGACCGCCUGUGUUAAAGAGGAGGAAGGAGCGGGCGACGGUAGGUCAGUAUGCCCCGAAUUUUCCGGGCUACACGCGGGCUACAAUGGAUGGGACAAUGGGUUCCUACCCCGAAAGGGGAAGGCAAUCUCUUAACCCCAUUCUUAGUUCGGAUUGAGGGCUGAAACUCGCCCUCAUGAAGCUGGAAUCCGUAGUAAUCGCGUUUCAAAACAGCGCGGUGAAUAC
rnacentral:rRNA from 1 species